rnacentral:rRNA from 1 species
UACGGGGGGAGCAAGCGUUGUUCGGAUUUACUGGGCGUAAAGGGCGCGUAGGCGGCCACCGCAAGUCGACUGUGAAAUCUCCGGGCUUAACCCGGAAAGGUCAGCCGAUACUGCGGGGCUAGAGUGCAGAAGGGGCAACUGGAAUUCUCGGUGUAGCGGUGAAAUGCGCAGAUAUCGGGAAGAACACCCGUGGCGAAGGCGGCUCUCUGGGACGGUACUGACGCUGAGACGCGAAAGCGUGGGGAGCGAACAGG